GCUCCUAUACACUAACACCUUAGCAUCUCUUGGAGUUGGAUAUAAAAAAAUAUGGAAAGUAAUAGAAUACUUUAGCUACAAUUAGAAUCAAUCCAGCCAUGGGUGGAACCUGAAAUUUCAUUCGUUGAUCUUUACAUGACAAAGUAUUAUUCCUCUAUAUUUUGGUUGUUAGUUUACUUGAUCCUUCUCCAUCUGAUAAUUAAUUGAUUUUAUUUUUCUUGUGCAUUGUGAUGUUUCACGUGUUGUGGCUACACAGAUUUCAAGCCAUGAUGCCAGCUUCUUGUGCAAAGGGCCAACUUAUCCUAGAAUCAUCAACUUCUAGCCCCAAAAUUUUCAUUUGGGAAGCUUUUUGUGAAUCUUGUGGCAACAGUAAUAGAAUUGUAGACUAACAUCAGAAGUCAAGUAUGAUUCCCAUAGGAUACUGAAGCUUGCUCUGAUCAAGUUUGGCCUCAAUUGGUGUUCCAGCUACUUACCAGAGGUCCAAGGGCUAAUCUUUACAUGGAUUUGAGGAUGGCAAAAUUUGUUUUUUUCCUUAAGUCAUAUCUUAGAGAAUUAAGGGAUAGAGUUACCAAUGGAGACCUCUCGAAGUUGCAUGAGCCUCUGAUAUAAUAUGAUUAUUCAAAUUAUGAACCAAGUAUUAUGUCUUUAGGGAUAUUUGUCAACUUUUAUCAUUAAGUUGUUGGUUAUUCAGCCGAGCAGAGGAUUCAUGCAUGCAUUUCCAUUUCAUUCUUUGUUUCUUCUUCCUUAACAUUUCUUCCAGUUUGUACUGACAUUGCUCAAUUUGAGGAUAGAUAUCCACUCCAAACAAUGUAACAUGGACUCAUCUAAUAGUUACAUCUGUCUUCAAUAGACUACCUUUUGACAAGGGAAAUGAAAAAUUUCUAUUCUAGGACAA